UACGUAGGGAGCAAGCGUUGUCCGGAAUCAUUGGGCGUAAAGCGCGCGUAGGUGGCCCCGUAAGUCCGCUGUGAAAGUCAAAGGCUCAACCUUUGAAAGCCGGUGGAUACUGUGGGACUAGAGUACGGAAGGGGCGAGUGGAAUUCCUGGUGUAGCGGUGAAAUGCGCAGAUAUCAGGAGGAACACCAAUAGCGAAGGCAGCUCGCUGGGACGUACUGACACUGAGGCGCGAAAGCGUGGGGAGCGAACAGG
rnacentral:rRNA from 1 species